rnacentral:lncRNA from 1 species
AUGGUUAAGAAAUGAAUAUUACCGUAUAAGGUUCACAUUUUUUAUUUUUUAUGACGUAUAAGGGUUCAAGUUGAAAUGGCCAAUCCUCUAAAAGAUGCAAAGAACAAGGUCAUUGAUUUUUUUUGUUAUUUUUUUAAACAUGAUCAUUAAUCAAUUCAAUGACAAGAAGGAAUCAAGGCCAAAGAAAAUCUUUUAGUAAAUAAACUUAGAUUUGCUUUUAUCUUCUUUUGUUUAACAGGAACAUUUUGUCAGUAUCAAAAUAUAUAAAACUGAGUGGCUUCCCAAAUUUCCAUU